GGCGGCAGGCCUUACACAUGCAAGUCGAGCGGAUGAGAAGAGCUUGCUCUUCGAUUCAGCGGCGGACGGGUGAGUAAUGCCUAGGAAUCUGCCUGGUAGUGGGGGACAACGUUUCGAAAGGAACGCUAAUACCGCAUACGUCCUACGGGAGAAAGCAGGGGACCUUCGGGCCUUGCGCUAUCAGAUGAGCCUAGGUCGGAUUAGCUAGUUGGUGGGGUAAAGGCUCACCAAGGCGACGAUCCGUAACUGGUCUGAGAGGAUGAUCAGUCACACUGGAACUGAGACACGGUCCAGACUCCUACGGGAGGCAGCAGUGGGGAAUAUUGGACAAUGGGCGAAAGCCUGAUCCAGCCAUGCCGCGUGUGUGAAGAAGGUCUUCGGAUUGUAAAGCACUUUAAGUUGGGAGGAAGGGCAGUAAGUUAAUACCUUGCUGUUUUGACGUUACCAACAGAAUAAGCACCGGCUAACUCUGUGCCAGCAGCCGCGGUAAUACAGAGGGUGCAAGCGUUAAUCGGAAUUACUGGGCGUAAAGCGCGCGUAGGUGGUUCGUUAAGUUGGAUGUGAAAGCCCCGGGCUCAACCUGGGAACUGCAUC
rnacentral:rRNA from 1 species